rnacentral:RNase_P_RNA from 1 species
GAGAGUAGGCGCAGGUGGUUGCGGAUCAGUCAUUAAGAUUGGUUUGAGGAAAGUCCGGACUCCCGAAAGACCAAACUUGCUGGAUAACGUCCAGUGCGAGCGAUCGUGAGGAUAGUGCCACAGAAAGAUACCGCCAACCAAUUUUAGAUUGUAGAUUUUAGAUUUUGGAUUGAAUUGAAAAUCUAAAAUCCAAAGUCCAAAAUCCAAAAUUAGUUGGUAAGGGUGCAAAGGUGCGGUAAGAGCGCACCAGCAACGUCGAGAGGCGUUGGCUCGGUAAACCCCGGUUGGGAGCAAGGCCGGAGGAACUACGGUUGGUCUUUUACCAGUUCCGGGAAAUGAGCGCCGCUAGAGGUGUUUGGUAACAAACAUCCCAGAUAGAUAACCACCCUCGCAAGAGAACAGAAUCCGGCUUAUGUCCUACUCUCUCUU